UACGAAGGGGGCUGGCGUUGCUCGGAAUUACUGGGCGUAAAGGGCGCGUAGGCAGGUUGUUAAGUUAGAGGUGAAAGCCCAGGGCUCAACCCUGGAACUGCCUUUAAUACUGGCAUCCUAGAGUAUGACAGAGGUGUGUGGAACUCCGAGUGUAGAGGUGAAAUUCGUAGAUAUUCGGAAGAACACCAGUGGCGAAGGCGACACACUGGGUCAUUACUGACGCUGAGGCGCGAAAGCGUGGGGAGCAAACAGG
rnacentral:rRNA from 1 species